rnacentral:lncRNA from 1 species
UGUAAUGCAAAUAUGAACUGUUGAGGAAUAUCUUUGGCCUGUAGUGCAAAGAUGAAUUGUUGAUGAAUAUCUUUGGGUCGUAGUGCAAAGAUGACCUGUUGUUGAAUAUCUUUGGCCUGUAGUGCAAAGAUGAACUGUUGAUGAAUAUCUUUGGCCCGUAGUGCAAAGAUAAAUUUAUUAGUAUGAUUAUGAACAGGAACUGUGAUUUGGUAUAACCAUGAUCUUUGAUGUUUCAGGUAAAGACAGGUGAUGAAAAUUAUCUUCGUCUUG